rnacentral:rRNA from 1 species
CCUACGUGUGGCAGCAGUGAGGAAUAUUGGUCAAUGGGCGCGAGCCUGAACCAGCCAAGUCGCGUGAAGGAUGACUGCCCUACGGGUUGUAAACUUCUUUUAUAAAGGACUAAAGUGAGGCACGUGUGCCUUUUUGUAUGUACUUUAUGAAUAAGGAUCGGCUAACUCCGUGCCAGCCGCCGCGGUCAUACGGAGGAUCCGAGCGUUAUCCGGAUUUAUUGGGUUUAAAGGGAGCGUAGAUGGGUUGUUAAGUCAGUUGUGAAAGUUUGCGGCUCAACCGUACAAUUGCAGUUGAUACUGGCAGUCUUGAGUACAGUUGAGGUAGGCGGAAUUCGUGGUGUAGCGGUGAAAUGCUUAGAUAUCACGAAGAACUCCGAUUGCGAAGGCAGCUUACUAAACUGCCACUGACACUGAUGCUCGAAAGUGUGGGUAUCAAACAGGAUUAGAUACCCCUGUAGUC